rnacentral:rRNA from 1 species
GAUGAACGCUGGCGGCGUGCUUAACACAUGCAAGUCGAACGGAAAGGCCCAAGCUUGCUUGGGUACUCGAGUGGCGAACGGGUGAGUAACACGUGGGUGAUCUGCCCUGCACUUCGGGAUAAGCCUGGGAAACUGGGUCUAAUACCGGAUAGGACGAUGGUUUGGAUGCCAUUGUGGAAAGUUUUUUCGGUGUGGGAUGAGCUCGCGGCCUAUCAGCUUGUUGGUGGGGUAAUGGCCUACCAAGGCGUCGACGGGUAGCCGGCCUGAGAGGGUGUACAGCCACAUUGGGACUGAGAUACGGCCCAGACUCCUACGGGAGGCAGCAGUGGGGAAUAUUGCACAAUGGGCGCAAGCCUGAUGCAGCGACGCCGCGUGGGGGAUGAAGGCCUUCGGGUUGUAGACUCCUUUCGCUAGGGACGAAGCGUUUUUGUGACGGUACCUGGAGAAGAAGCACCGGCUAACUACGUG